rnacentral:rRNA from 1 species
GUCUACGGCCAUGCCACCCUGAACAAGCCCCAUCCCAUCUGAUCUCGGAAGCUAAGCAGGGUUGGGCCUGAUUAGUACUUGGAUGGGGGACCACCCAGGAAGACCAGGUGCUGUAGGUG